CCUACGGGAGGCUGCAGUGGGGAAUAUUGGACAAUGGGCGAAAGCCUGAUCCAGCCAUGCCGCGUGUGUGAAGAAGGCCUUCGGGUUGUAAAGCACUUUCAGUGGGGAAGAAAGCCUUGGGGCUAAUACCCUCGAGGAAGGACAUCACCCACAGAAGAAGCACCGGCUAACUCCGUGCCAGCAGCCGCGGUAAUACGGAGGGUGCGAGCGUUAAUCGGAAUUACUGGGCGUAAAGCGCGCGUAGGCGGUCUGAUAAGCCGGUUGUGAAAGCCCCGGGCUCAACCUGGGAACGGCAUCCGGAACGGUCAGGCUAGAGUGCAGGAGAGGAAGGUAGAAUUCCCGGUGUAGCGGUGAAAUGCGUAGAGAUCGGGAGGAAUACCAGUGGCGAAGGCGGCCUUCUGGACUGACACUGACGCUGAGGUGCGAAAGCGUGGGUAGCAAACAGGAUUAGAUACCCCGGUAGUC
rnacentral:rRNA from 1 species